UUUGUGUAAGGAAAAUUUCAUGGGAACCUAAUCUAAGGCAUUACACUUGUGACAUAUAAAAUGUGAGUUUGAUUUGUACCUUUUUAGUUACUCCUAAACUAAGGUUUAAGUGAAUAAGACAAAUUAGGUAGCAUGUGAUGGGUGAGAUGGAACAUAAAAUGUACGCAUGUGAGGAAAAAAUAAUAAUCUAUUAAGUGAAAGGGUGAGAUAGAGCGUAAAACGUGUUCACUCGUAAAAAUAUAUUUGAGGUAAAAGUAUGAGAU
rnacentral:lncRNA from 1 species